AUGUGUCAAUGAAUGCUGUCCGCAGAAGACCUCGUGAACAGAAAUAGAGGGUGCACUGUAAGAUGCAAACCACU